rnacentral:rRNA from 1 species
CGUCUAAUACCGGAUACGACCUGCCCCGGCAUCGGGUGUGGGUGGAAAGUUUUUCGGUCAAGGAUGGACUCGCGGCCUAUCAGCUUGUUGGUGAGGUAAUGGCUUACCAAGGCGACGACGGGUAGCCGGCCUGAGAGGGUGACCGGCCACACUGGGACUGAGACACGGCCCAGACUCCUACGGGAGGCAGCAGUGGGGAAUAUUGCACAAUGGGCGAAAGCCUGAUGCAGCAACGCCGCGUGGGGGAUGACGGCCUUCGGGUUGUAAACCUCUUUUAGUAGGGAAGAAGGGCUUCGGCUUGACGGUACCUGCAGAAAAAGCACCGGCUAACUACGUGCCAGCAGCCGCGGUAAUACGUAGGGUGCAAGCGUUGUCCGGAAUUAUUGGGCGUAAAGAGCUCGUAGGCGGUUUGUCGCGUCUGCUGUGAAAACCCGAGGCUCAACCUCGGGCCUGCAGUGGGUACGGGCAGACUAGAGUGCGGUAGGGGAGAAUGGAAUUCCUGGUGUAGCGGUGGAAUGCGCAGAUAUCAGGAGGAACACCGAUGGCGAAGGCAGUUCUCUGGGCCGUUACUGACGCUGAGGAGCGAAAGCGUGGGGAGCGAACAGGAUUAGAUACCCUGGUAGUCCACGCCGUAAACGUUGGGAACUAGAUGUGGGGGCCUUUCCACGGUCUCCGUGUCGCAGCUAACGCAUUAAGUUCCCCGCCUGGGGAGUACGGCCGCAAGGCUAAAACUCAAAGGAAUUGACGGGGGCCCGCACAAGCGGCGGAGCAUGCGGAUUAAUUCGAUGCAACGCGAAGAACCUUACCAAGGCUUGACAUAUACCGGAAACUUCCAGAGAUGGUUGCCCCGCAAGGUCGGUAUACAGGUGGUGCAUGGUUGUCGUCAGCUCGUGUCGUGAGAUGUUGGGUUAAGUCCCGCAACGAGCGCAACCCUCGUUCUAUGUUGCCAGCACGUGAUGGUGGGAACUCAUAGGAGACUGCCGGGGUCAACUCGGAGGAAGGUGGGGAUGACGUCA